GCUAUCUUCCCACUCAGACAUACAAUUAUGCACCCCCUGUACUCUACAGGCAACAGUCCAUCAUUUACAUGCAACCCUUUUUCAAAACUCACCCAAUUUCAGAAGCUCAGAUUAAUCUUCAUGAACACUUCGGUGCAUCCUGAGCCGGAUAAUCUCAGAAAGGGAGACAAACUCCUGCCUCCGGAUCAGUAAAAACCAAACAGAGCAGCUGCCACCGUUUGUAAGUGUUGGGAAUGAGAUGAGGAGGAGAGGGAGGAUGAUAAGGGUCGACCACAUGGGUGAAUCCAGACCGCCUCCGCCUCUUCAGGGUCAGGUUAAACAACAUCUCUGUCUAUCAGGGCACUUGAAGACCCAGAUGGAGAACUCACUCUAAUUUAACUGAAGCCAUUAACAUCACAGUACAGCAGUGGGUGGGUGAACAGUGAAGGCGAGGACGCUGAAAAAAGCACAUGGUGGUAUAUGUGCUUACUCGCAGGCUUUGGAUGUGACUGGAGCAGAAGCAAAGCCAUGGGAAGGCCGGUGAGCGUAGCUCCUCUGAUCCUGUUUGCCCUGAUGCUGCUGGGGACUGAUGCCGAAGAUUGUGUGUGCAGUGGAAGAUCAAGGUGCCAAUGUGCCGGAGUGAAAGGCAGCCGGGGAGACAAAGGUCUUCCAGGAGCUGUCGGUCCCCCGGGGUCAGUGGGUCGUCCAGGGCCGGAUGGUCACGCCGGACCGAUGGGACCAAAGGGAAACACUGGACCCGUUGGACCCAUGGGACCAGAAGGCGAUCCGGUAAGCUUGUGUCUGUUUGUGUGCUUGCUGGGUGUUCAUUUGAUGAUUCGGUGUGAGGAAGUUAUGCUUGUAUAUCAGCUGUGCUAG
rnacentral:lncRNA from 1 species